AGUGAACGCUGGCGGUAGGCCUAACACAUGCAAGUCGAACGGCAGCACAGUAAGAGCUUGCUCUUACGGGUGGCGAGUGGCGGACGGGUGAGGAAUACAUCGGAAUCUACUUUUUCGUGGGGGAUAACGUAGGGAAACUUACGCUAAUACCGCAUACGACCUACGGGUGAAAGCAGGGGAUCUUCGGACCUUGCGCGAUUGAAUGAGCCGAUGUCGGAUUAGCUAGUUGGCGGGGUAAAGGCCCACCAAGGCGAGGAUCCGUAGCUGGUCUGAGAGGAUGAUCAGCCACACUGGAACUGAGACACGGUCCAGACUCCUACGGGAGGCAGCAGUGGGGAAUAUUGGACAAUGGGCGCAAGCCUGAUCCAGCAAUACCGCGUGGGUGAAGAAGGCCUUCGGGUUGUAAAGCCCUUUUGUUGGGAAAGAAAAGCAGCAGGUUAAUACCCCGCUGUUCUGACGGUACCCAAAGAAUAAGCACCGGCUAACUUCGUG
rnacentral:rRNA from 1 species